rnacentral:rRNA from 1 species
AGUAACGGCGAGUGAAGCGGCAACAGCUCAAAUUUGAAAUCUGGCUCUUUCAGGGUCCGAGUUGUAAUUUGCAGAGGGCGCUUUGGUGUUGGCAGCGGUCCAAGUUCCUUGGAACAGGACGUCACAGAGGGUGAGAAUCCCGUACGUGGUCGCUAGCCUCCGCCGUGUAAAGCCCCUUCGACGAGUCGAGUUGUUUGGGAAUGCAGCUCUAAAUGGGAGGUAAAUUUCUUCUAAAGCUAAAUACUGGCCAGAGACCGAUAGCGCACAAGUAGAGUGAUCGAAAGAUGAAAAGCACUUUGGAAAGAGAGUCAAAUAGCACGUGAAAUUGUUGAAAGGGAAGCGCUUGCAGCCAGACUUGCCUGUAGUUGCUCAUCCGGGCUUUUGCCCGGUGCACUCUUCUGCGGGCAGGCCAGCAUCAGUUUGGGCGGUUGGAUAAAGGUCUCUGUCAUGUACCUCUCUUCGGGGAGGCCUUAUAGGGGAGACGACAUGCAACCAGCCUGGACUGAGGUCCGCGCAUUUGCUAGGAUGCUGGCGUAAUGGCUGUAAGCGGCCCGUCUUGAAACACGGACCAAGGAGUCUAACAUCUAUGCAAGUGUUUGGGUGUCAAGCCCGAACGCGUAAUGAAAGUGAACGGAGGUGGGAACCCUUUAGGGUGCACCAUCGACCGAUCCUGAUGUCUUCGGAAGGAUUUGAGUAAGAGCAUGGCUGUUGGGACCCGAAAGAUGGUGAACUAUGCUUGAAUAGGGUGAAGCCAGAGGAAACUCUGGUGGAGGCUCGCAGCGGUUCUGACGUGCAAAUCGAUCGUCAAAUUUGGGCAUA